rnacentral:ncRNA from 1 species
AAUCAGGCAAUGAUGAAGAGUAGUAAUUUGUCUUCUUCACUCAAGAGAGCCAGUGGCAGGUGCAAACUGGCGUGUCAGACAAAUGAAUGGACUUCUGAGCUUCCAGACCGAACCAAUUUUGCAGUAGGCUUUGGCGACCGGGUCUCAUCGUUACACGAGACACUAUUGAGCAUGCCUGCUUAAUAUGGCCAAAGUGAGCUGUUUUUCAGCUAAUAAAGGUGGUACCACGGUUCCUCGUCCUUUUC